rnacentral:rRNA from 1 species
UACGUAGGAGGCGAGCGUUGUCCGGAAUUACUGGGCGUAAAGGGCGCGUAGGCGGCGCGACAAGUCACCUGUGAAACCUCUGGGCUUAACCCAGAGCCUGCAGGCGAAACUGUCGUGCUGGAGUAUGGGAGAGGUGCGUGGAAUUCCCGGUGUAGCAGUGAAAUGCGUAGAGAUGUGGAGGAACACCGAUGGCGAAGGCAGCCCCCUGGGUCAAGAUUGACGCUCAUGCACGAAAGCGUGGGGAGCAAACAGG